CUUGCACGGUGGCUACAUAGAACGUGAGCACGGCGUAAGCACGUAGGGGAGAAGGAGGAGAGACAACAAAGCCGUUCAGGAACAGACAAGCGCAAGCACGCUGGACAGACCCUUCGAAGGUUAUGAAUGGCGCAGGAGUUCCUCUGAAUUGGUCCAUCAGAUCCAGCCCUCCGAAGAAGUUCACAAAGAUGAUCCCCAAUUUGGCUGGCAUGAAACUGACAAAAAAGUGAUGGAAUUCACAUAAUAAUUCAAAUAACCAUUGCACUUCAGGGUCAAAGUUUAACUUCCAGGGAUAUUAUUUCCGGGUUAAAUACUUCCAACAAACAAUACGACAACAAUGUGUGUGACUUGUGAUAAACAUUGACCUGCUA